AUCUCUAAGGCAGGGUUGGGGGUGACCAUUACUCUAUGUAGGUUUGAGGCAAUGCUCUGGGGGCACAUUUGCAUAUUGUAGACUUGCCAGACUGACAGCCUCUCGGAAGCACUGAGCUCUCUCUCAGCAGCGCUUCCCGAGCACCAUUUUACCUGCCGUGGAUGUUGUAAAGCAGGGCUGUGCGGACAAGCUUGACCACAUUGCUUUAUGGCUCCUUAGAUGUUCCGAGCCUAUGUGAGCCCCCAGCUCACUGGGAGCCCUGCUAGGAAUCCUGGGCUCUCCUCCGCUUCAGUUAGCCCUCUGGAGGUGCAGGACAAGCCAGCGCCAUUUGCAGCUCUCUGACACACACAGGAUUUGUGCAGAUGCCAAGGAUGCAGGCGUGGCCCUCAGGCUGAGCUUCUGCUUUGCUUUCCCAACCAGCACCACUCGCCAUCCUCGGGGGCAAGCCUAAUGCUUAUCAUCGAGUUCCCCCAGCAUUCACACCCUGCAGCGAGCUUUGGAUCUUACCACAUGGAUUUGAGGAGCGCUAAAGACGCCUCAUGUUUGCAGGGAUCACACAGAACUGGGUGUUGUUUUGGCCAAUAAAUAGUCACUUAUGAUUGGAGGAAAGGAAUUUGAACAGGCAGGCUCAGAUUGGCAAUUUGAAACGGAGGUAUGGUUAAAGAUAUUUCGACAUAUCAUCUCAGGGGCAUUUGAACUUAUGUGUGUUUAAUUUAAUAACUGUUACCAAAAAAAAAAAAAAAAGCAGGAAGAAGCAGCCGCGUUAUUCACUUGGUUCAAAGACCAUUUAUGUUUCCCCAACAUUAGCUUCCUGCACUUAAACUGACAAACCUUAGAUAAACGCAAUAAUUCCUUCACAUUUCACCAUGAUCAGCUCUUUACUUCUAACAGCAACAAUUGUGUUUCUCAUUAACUUGUCCACUGCUGAUCCUUGGAGUGUUUGAAUCUUUAAAAAAAAGUUGUAAGAGACUGUCAUAGCUACUGUAAGAGAAUAAUGAAGUAAAGAAAUGAGCUAUUGUGGUUUUCUCCUGGAGAUAAGGUGGCUGCUUGGGAUUUGAGCUGAAAUUCACCGCAUCUCUCUCCUUUGCUCAUGGUGUGUAAUUUCGCAUAAGCUAUUUGUAGUUGAUGCUUCCUGCUUGGGUAUGAGAAGGGUGGGGUAGAGCAAGCUAGUAGGAAGGUCGAGAGAAGGCUAUGGCUAGGGAAAGUCUGGGGUGUGAACAAAUGAAACCAGGGUUUAAGAACUAGGGCUAUGGAAUGUUUCACAUCACGUUGGCAUCCUAUACCGACCAGAGGUUAGGGUAAGGCGCCCAUGGAGAAUUUAGUUUCACACCAGAAGAGAACAUUUCACUCCUUGAAUGUUUUAGGCAGCGCCUGGUUAUGUUCCUCUUCUUUCCUAGACCCCCAGGUGUGUCUGCAUAAUGUGUUCUAGCUAAUGAAAUACAAAGAGAGUGAUGGCUGCCAUUUCUGAGCCAAGUCUAUAACAUUUUCUGUCCUUUGUUCUCUCCACUCAUUGUGAUGCUAACCGGAGAAUCAUGGAGAAUUUGAGGUUGCCUAGUGAAGAUAGCUUCUGUCCACCGUAGGAAAGGAGCCUGGCUUCCUGAGUCACUACGUGGAGGAGAGCCAUCGGUGGAUUAAAACAUCUCUUUGUGUGAUGAAAAACAAUGAUGCUGGGUUGCACUGUGACAUAUAAAUACUUUAUCAUAGCAGAUACCACCUUUGCCAAUGUCUCCGGGUCUUGAUGCUAGUAAAGAGGACCCAGGAAGGCUAUCCUCCAGUCUUAUCACAGUCAGCUUCCUGAGAAGGCUAAGCUGGGAUUCUCAGAAUAAGCACUGGUCUGAGAAGCAGAUGGUAGGUUGGGAUUUUAGAGGUGGUUUGCCUACCCUGCCAAGGGCAAUGAAGACAGCAUUCCUGAUGUGGGAGAGGGACAGACAUCCCCUGUCUUCUGGUAGUAGUGUGGCACUUGAACCAGCAACGAGCUGGGUUAUUUCAGUGGAAGGGUAAGCGGCAGGUGGGGCGAGGGAACGAAGGAACACAAAUUGUAUCUAGAACUUAGAGGACUGAGAGGAGAUUGCUAAGUAGAUUGGGGGGAAAACAAGGGGAAGCUUCGAGUGACUAUCAGAUCAUUUAAAGCAGAGGGCUCCCUAGUAAUGAGGAAGGGAGUUCCCAUUCCCAGUAGACCAAAGGCAGAGAAUUCUGAAGUAUUGAAUUAUAGUGAAUGCAGAAAUGAUAUGCACUCUUUGGAAGCUCUAGAAUAUAGAAACCACCCAAGGAAAGGGCAGGGUCACAAGUCCAACCCCAGUUCUGUGCUCACUCUGGAGCCUGCGAUCACGGAAUGUGGUUGGCACAGAUGGCCUAAUGUAUUGAGUCUGGUUAAUACUCCAUGUGUCCAUUAGGUAUUCAUCACACAGCUAGAAAUUCAUCAGUGUGUACAAGUGUGCAUUCAUGCAUCUGAUACGCACUUACCAUUUGCACUCAUUCUAGACACACUUAUGGAUGAGUACCUAUGGGUACAACUCAGUGCUGGACACUGGAGGUGAAGGACCCAGGCCCAUCUUCAGUGAUCUCAGAGCCUCGGAGAAGAGACGGCAGUGUGGCCAGUGCAUGAUGUGAAUGUCAGGAAAUCUCUGUAAGUCUGGAUCACAGAAGGGCCACACUGCCUAGCUUCUCUGAGAAGAGGGUGACUGAGCAUGGCUUUGAAGGUGAAUAGGAGGUUUAUAAGUGGGAAACAGGAAGUCAGUAGAGCUUCUGUCAAAACAGCACCUUCGAGGCAAGAGAAAAA